rnacentral:rRNA from 1 species
AUGGCCGUCGACGCCAUCACGGCCAACGUGCUCCCCGCGCCGUACGAAUUUGUCUUGAAGCAUCCUCGUCGUCGUCUCCUUCGUCCCCGACCAUUGAAUCAAGCCGGGAGGGCCUGUACGCUCGCCAUCAAGCUCGAGUCAUUCGCGUACAUCGCCGGCCGCCGUCGCCGAUUGCCUCAUCUCCGGUCCACCUCAGGCCUCCUCGUCACUUCCGUUGGAACCGUGACCCCGAGACUACCGGUGACCCCCAGUUCGACUACGGAGUUGACGACCCCUCCUUCCUGCCAGAGCAACCAGAUGCUGGAGUCCAGGAGCUAG